rnacentral:rRNA from 1 species
AGUGAACGCCGGCGGUAGGCCUAACACAUGCAAGUCGAACGGCAGCACAGUAAGAGCUUGCUCUUACGGGUGGCGAGUGGCGGGCGGGUGAGGAAUACAUCGGAAUCUACUUUUUCGUGGGGGAUAACGUAGGGAAACUUACGCUAAUACCGCAUACGACCUACGGGUGAAAGCAGGGGAUCUUCGGACCUUGCGCGAUUGAAUGAGCCGAUGUCGGAUUAGCUAGUUGGCGGGGUAAAGGCCCACCAAGGCGACGAUCCGUAGCUGGUCUGAGAGGAUGAUCAGCCACACUGGAACUGAGACACGGUCCAGACUCCUACGGGAGGCAGCAGUGGGGAAUAUUGGACAAUGGGCGCAAGCCUGAUCCAGCCAUACCGCGUGGGUGAAGAAGGCCUUCGGGUUGUAAAGCCCUUUUGUUGGGAAAGAAAAGCAGCAGGUUAAUACCCCGCUGUUCUGACGGUACCCAAAGAAUAAGCACCGGCUAACUUCGUG